CCCCCCCCCCCCCCCCCCCCCCCCCCCCCCCCCCUUUUUUUUUUUUUUUUUUUUUAACAGUAGAGAUGCUGGUCUUGUAAUGACGAAAUGGAGAGCUAGGAGGAUUAUGAAACACAAGUAACAUGAAGGGCAAAUCUGACUGAAAGGGAGAAUAUUAUUCUGACUAUUUAAAACUUCACUGGUUUCUUUACUAACUUAAAUCAAUACAGCUCCCCUGAAAUCUAUAUGGUGAUACAGAUGCAUCCAAGAUGCAUGUAAGAUAAUGCGGAUCAUCAUCUUCUGUUAGGACAGUAAAUAAAAACACUUGUAUAAUCAUCUUUUUUAAGCAGCUCCCUAAUCUUUAGAGAUGCAAAAGACAACUUUUAAAAGAGGCACCUUAAGUACUUCUGCUAUUCUAUUCCUGGUCCUCUGUUAUCUAAAACUUGUGUGAUUGUUAAUGCUGAAGCCAGGUUUAAACACUGGCUUCUGUCCCUCAGUGCUUCAUACUUCCCUGUGCUGCUGCAAAUCACCAUGGAAGGCUCAAGAUGGAGGGAACGGGGCCUGGGUGGCUUGUGCCUUCCUCCCACAAAGAUCACCAAAUGCUCCCAGCGCUCACUUCCGACGCAUCCAAGGAGUUCUGCAACAACAGAAGGGGAAACAAGGCUUCACAGUCCUCAUCUUUCACUUGGAGGAAUAACAGCACAUCUACACAGUGGCGUUUACCUAUUCGCUCGCGCCGUGGCUGCCACGCACCCUAUGUGGGCGGCCGGCUGGCACAGCCCGCGGUGACCGGAGCGAUGCCGAGGAGGAAACUCCCGGUCCCUCUCCGGGCGAGGGGCGCGCUGCGGGCCGGCUCCGGGCGGGCAGCUCUCCCUCCUCGGCGGCGGCGGGGAUGCUCCGCUCUGCGGCCAGCAGCGUCCAUUGCAGCUCGGCGGGUCCGCGGCCGGGGUCCAGGGGCUCCGGCGGCCAGGGGGGACACCCGGCCCCCGCUCCCCUAA
rnacentral:lncRNA from 12 species